GACGAUCUUACUCGGAAUCACAUUGGAAUGUCCUAAGGCGAGAAGAGGAAUCGUAGAUGCAAGUCAACUAGCCUCGGUCCCUUGAAGACCCUGGAGAUGGCAAGAUUAAUGUGAGGGAGGCCAUUGGAUGACUGGGAGGUGGUGAGAAGUCAUUGGAGAUGUACAUGGAUGAUGUAAGUGAGGUUAUCAGGCUAAGGUUUUAAGAGCAUUUGAGAGCAAAGAGGGGUUUCA
rnacentral:lncRNA from 1 species